rnacentral:lncRNA from 1 species
CUAGACUUAUUUGUAUAAUAUAAUAUACAUUGAACUAUGAAAAUUAAGAACAUAUUCGCAUUUUUAUUGACUCUAGAUUUCAAAAGCAUCAAGAGCUAGUUAAUAAAAUUCAUCCUGAAGAAGAAUUGCCAAAACAGGAACAAAGGAGAUGAAAACCGAGUUCGUGAAGAAUGACCUUCAGCUCGUGAUAAACAGAUGAGAAAACUCGACGCUUAAUGCAUCCUCUCUUAGGAGGGAGAUAAAGAACUUGCUCCAUUUUCAGCUGGCAAUACGUUCUACGCCUGGCCUCGAGCUUAAGGGAUCCA